UACGUAGGGUGCAAGCGUUGUCCGGAAUUAUUGGGCGUAAAGAGCUCGUAGGCGGUCUGUCGCGUCUGCUGUGAAAACUCGGGGCUUAACCCCGGGCCUGCAGUGGGUACGGGCAGACUAGAGUGCGGUAGGGGGAGACUGGAAUUCCUGGUGUAGCGGUGAAAUGCGCAGAUAUCAGGAGGAACACCGGUGGCGAAGGCGGGUCUCUGGGCCGUAACUGACGCUGAGGAGCGAAAGCGUGGGGAGCGAACAGG
rnacentral:rRNA from 1 species